CCAAUCAUCUUAUAGGUAACAGGUAAUGUCAUCUUAUUUUUAAUGAUCACAUGAAGCCCUGGGAUAUGUACUGUUUCACCUAUUUUACAGAUCAUAGAAUGGAGACAUCAAAAGGUAAAGCAACCUGCUCAUGCAGAUAAAGUAAGAGGUAAAACCAAUGUUUUAAGCCCAGCAGUCUGAAAUCAACACAUACUGAUGUUAUGUGAUGGAAAGAUGAAGAUUAGGAGAGAAAAUAUGAUAAUAAAUGCAGCAAGUCAACUAUGAAAGGGAAAAGGAGACUGGAAGUUCUUCAUUUUGAAUACUAGUACAAGAUUAUGAGACUAUUAGGCACAGAUUUAUUUGGUCAUAAUGCUCCCUGACAAAUAUAAGUGUUAGAAUGAAGUGCAACAACUACACCUCAAAAGCUACAGGCUGUAGACUUCUCAAAGUUUCAUGGAAGCUUUUGGCAUACUUCGCUCACUUCAAGUUACUAAGUCUUCAUUCAAGUUACUAAGCAGAAGACACAUAUGGAGUCACAGGUUGUGUGACUGAUACAUGUGGACAAAAGAAGCUGUUUCCUUGGAAACGACUCUGAGAAAGCUCUUGGAACAUCUCCUCCCCAGGAGUUAAUUUGUUUCAGAUGGAGAAAGGCGAUUACUUACGACACAUCAAGAAAGAAAAAGAGAAAACUCAAGCUUAUUCCUACCAUCACUGUUUUUCUCUUUCAAAAUCAUAGCAUAGUUAUCAGCAGCAAGAGUAAAUAUUAAUGACAUUGUGACUAUCUAACAUCUAACUCUGCAAUAGUUUUCACCUGUAUGUAGAAGAAACAGUGGGGUUGGAAAGGGAAAUUUUCUAAAUGAACCAAAGUACUGUGUAUGCUUCUCAAUUUCCUGGAAAUUUUCCAGUGCUCUACUUCCCUUCAUACUGAUCAUUUUAAAGUGCAAAUGUUUGCCACUUGGGUUGAAUUACAGAUAAAAAAAUAAUGAUCUGUCAUUUAGUAAAGAUGGUAUCUCAACUUAGUGAUUUAAACUUUUUCCUCAGUUGUAGUGAAGAAUUAACCUAUUAGGUCUAAUCCUUGACUCCUUGCCUUUGUUAUUCCUAGCAUGGAUUCAUUACAAAGUGUAUUGUGUUCAAAACUACCCAAGAUUCUUCAAUUGUGGACACUUGUAUCAGGUUUUCAGUAAGGUUUUGUUAGUUGACUCAUUAAUUUUUGGCAUGGCUGAGUUAUGGUUUGGAGCUGUAAAAUCGACUUAAGCAAAUCAGUCCAUAUGAGAAAGAAACUUAAGACCUUUUCUAUUGGAUCAUUUUUCUAUUGAACCAAGUUAACCAAAUAACAGAGGUCAUAAUACAAAGUAAGAGGAAUCAACAAAAUUAAGGCACAUUAAAUUA